AGUAACACGUGGAUAAUCUGCCCUGCACAGGGGGACAACAGCUAGAAAUGGCUGCUAAUACCCGCAUAAGCCUACAGCCUCGCAUGAGGGAGUAGGAAAAGAAAUUCGGUGCAGGAUGAGUCCGCGUCUGAUUAGCUAGUUGGAGGGGUAAGAGCCCACCAAGGCAACGAUCAGUAGCCGGCCUGAGAGGGCCGACCGGCCACAUUGGGACUGAGACACGGCCCAAACUCCUACGGAAGGCAGCAG
rnacentral:rRNA from 1 species